rnacentral:rRNA from 1 species
AGAGUUUGAUCAUGGCUCAGAACGAACGCUGGCGGCAGGCUUAACACAUGCAAGUCGAACGGCUGUAGCAAUACAGCAGUGGCAGACGGGUGAGUAACACGUGGGAACCUUCCUAGGGGUACGGAACAACUCAGGGAAACUUGAGCUAAUACCGUAUACGUCCGUAAGGAGAAAGAUUCAUCGCCCCUAGACGGGCCCGCGUCGGAUUAGGUAGUUGGUGGGGUAACGGCCUACCAAGCCUGCGAUCCGUAGCUGAUCUGAGAGGAUGAUCAGCCACACUGGGACUGAGACACGGCCCAGACUCCUACGGGAGGCAGCAGUGGGGAAUCUUGGACAAUGGGCGCAAGCCUGAUCCAGCCAUGCCGCGUGAGUGAAGAAGGCCUUAGGGUUGUAAAGCUCUUUUACCAGGGACGAUAAUGACGGUACCUGGAGAAUAG